GCGCACCCUUAUCCUUGUUUGCCAGCGAGUAAUGUCGGGAACUCCAGGGAGACUGCCGGUGAUAAACCGGAGGAAGGUGGGGACGACGUCAAGUCAUCAUGGCCCUUACGAGUAGGGCUACACACGUGCUACAAUGGCGCAUACAGAGGGCAGCAAGCUAGCGAUAGUGAGCGAAUCCCAAAAAGUGCGUCGUAGUCCGGAUUGGAGUCUGCAACUCGACUCCAUGAAGUCGGAAUCGCUAGUAAUCGUGAAUCAGAAUGUCACGGUGAAUACGUUCCCGGGCCUUGUACACACCGCCCGUCACACCAUGGGAGUGGGCUGCAAAAGAAGUGGGUAGUUUAACCUUUCGGAGAGGACGCUCACCACUUUGUGGUUCAUGACUGGGGUGAAGUCGUAACAAGGUAGCCCUAGGGGAACCUGGGGCUGGAUCA
rnacentral:rRNA from 1 species